CCUAACACAUGCAAGUCGAACGGGAAGCGGUGCAUAUUGCUUCGGUGAUAAUGUGCCGUGGAGAGUGGCGAACGGGUGCGUAACACGUAGGUAACCUGCCCUGAAAGGGGGGAUAACCACGGGAAACUGUGGCUAAUACCGUAUAAUCUCGCCGUGGCGGUGGUUACGGUGAGGAAAGCUGAGGCGAUUUGGGAGGGGCCUGCGGUCGAUUAGCUGGUUGGUGGGGUAAAGGCCCACCAAGGCGAUGAUCGAUAGCUGUUCUGAGAGGAAGACCAGCCACACGGGAACUGAGACACGGUUCCGACUCCUACGGGGGGCAGCAGUGAGGAAUAUUGCGCAAUGGGGGGAACCCUGACGCAGCAACGCCGCGUGGAGGACGAAGGUUUUCGGAUUGUAAACUCCUUAACUGGGGGAAGAGAGAGGACGGUACCCCAGGACGAAGACACGGCUAACUAGGUGCCAGCAGCCGCGGUAAUACCUAGGUGUCGAGCGUUAUCCGGAAUUACUGGGCGUAAAGGGUGCGCAGGCGGUGUUACAAGUCCGGCGUGAAAGCUUCUGGCUUAACUGGGAGAGGACGUCGGAAACUGUAGUGCUAG
rnacentral:rRNA from 1 species